CCAAGAAGUCUAACAUGUAUGCGAGUCAAUGGGCGUUACGAAACCCAAAGGCGAAAUGAAAGUGAAGGCGGUUCUAUGGAUCGCUGAGGUGUGAUCCCGGCUUUAACCGGCUGGGCGCAACACCGGCCCGUCUUGCUCGCAUUGUCGAUGAGGCGGAGCUUGAGCAUACAUGUUAGGACCCGAAAGAUGGUGAACUAUGCCUGAGUAGGAUGAAGCCAGAGGAAACUCUGGUGGAAGUCCGCAGCGAUUCUGACGUGCAAAUCGAUCGUCGAACUUGGGUAUAGGGGCGAAAGACUAAUCGAACCAUCUA
rnacentral:rRNA from 1 species